CGUGUUGGCAAAGGGCAUUAGAGAAUUUAAACUUGUUUCCCAAAAUAACUGUGCCGAGGGGAAUGCCAGCUGAUUGGUUUAGAAUUUGGCACUUACUUUGCUUGUGCCAGUUUUCUCGCCUGCUCCUAGUUCUUUCUGGCUAUUGAGCUUUGCAUUUUAUUUCUACUUUCUGUUUUGCACCCAGUAUGACUCCAGUCUUUAAAAGCGCCACAGGGAAGUGGGGAGUAAAGUCGAGAACUGAAAUGUGAGGGUGUCGUGACUCAUGGUUAGGUGUGGUUUCUGCCACUGUUGAAGUGUCACUCGUGUAUAUAAAGUAUAUCAGCUGGAUGCUCGCCGACUGAGCAGUGAGCCCCCAACUGCAGGUAAAACAGGAAGGUGCCACAACGCUACGUUUCAGCCAGGAAGAAAUGAGCUGUCCCUUUGGGGUCCAGAAGAUAUCUUUGGAACCAGAUGUGACACAUCGGCUUGUUCAAGCAUACAGGUGUGCCUGCCUGCCCAGAACGUUGCCAUGCGCGAACGGAGCGCACUGACUCGCGUCACCCAGUUCAGCGAGGGCCCUGUGAAUCUGCCUCCAUCCUGCAACGUUGAAGAGCCCCUGUGCGGAGCGAAGGUUUGAACAAGCUGAUUUAUGGAGGCAUGGGUGGGAUCUGGCUCCCAUUGGCUGAGCUGGCGUUGACUCAUACAUUCUUUGACCAGCUGUUGCACUUUGGAUUCUCUGCAGAGCGUGUUUAAAGUCUCCGGAAUUGGCUCGAGCUGAUGGGCUAUUUUGGACGCCAGCUGCAAGAGUCGUCUGGGCUCUGAUGAGUGUGUGGAGAGAUGGAUGAGGAUAAGGGAAGCCGCCUCACUGGCCAAAUGUGGGUGUUUCUUUGGCAGUGUCUUAGCUGGUUGUUGUGUGCCAUGAGAAGAAGCAAUCAGCAAGUAUACUGCCGUAGAAAUGCUUCACUGAAUCCCGGCCCAGUGCACGAUCUCCCUCAGCUACUCCCCACCUCCCUCUGCGAAAUGGCACCUUUUUGAGGUUUCAAAUAAUCUUUUUGGUUUAAAAUAUGCUCUGAAGUAACAGGUGGGAAUCAACUCUGAAAGAAUAAAUAAUUGAAUGCGCAAACAUGAAA